rnacentral:rRNA from 1 species
UACGUAGGGGGCAAGCGUUGUCCGGAUUUAUUGGGCGUAAAGAGCGUGUAGGCGGCUUGGUAGGUCCGCUGUGAAAACUCGAGGCUCAACCUCGAGAUGUCGGCGGAAACCACUUGGCUAGAGUCCGGAAGAGGAGAGUGGAAUUCCCGGUGUAGCGGUGAAAUGCGCAGAUAUCGGGAAGAACACCUAUGGCGGAAGGCAGCUCUCUGGGACGGUA